CGCUUUGGGCUUUCAUGCAUGUGCUUUUUUACAUCACAAAUUAGCAUGGGUGAUGAGAAAUGUACAAACUUUAAUAAAAAUAUCCUGUUAGAGGAUUUCUCAUGAAUAAUAGUAGGAUCCUCCAGACUGGCCUGGAGCGAUUCCCCCCCCCAGCACCAAUCACAGCUCAAAUGACACAGAUUCAUCUGUAGUCUUUGAAGCCUCCUCUGGCCCUUUUGUGACUCUUUAAAUUCUUCCUUUUUCUUCCAACCUAAGGCCGUCAAGAAUAAUCCAGGCUAUAAGUACACCAGAGACAUACUUUGAUUAAAUAGCCCCAUAGGAGAAGUGCCUUAAGAGAGUGUUUUGAGCAGCAUUCAGGGAUUCAAAGCACUGCAGGUGCUGCAACUCCUCAUGCAUUUGGAAAGGUUUUUUUUUUUCCAUCCUUUGCUACUAUUAUCCUGCCUCAAACAAACUGAACCUGCGAGAGCAAAAGUCCCAAAGCAAUCAAAACAGAGGGCGCAAUUCAAGCCUCCCCCCCGAGGUCGCCAUCCCGAGAAAUCACACAGAUCAGUCAGGAGGUGGAGCUAUGACAGGAAACUUUCCAUUUUUUUGUUCCUGGUUCACAAAGUUUUCCCGUCUCUUCUAGUUAUUCAGAAUAAAACAUCUUUCCUUUUUCUUUCCAAACAUACACAGGAAUCAAUGUACUGUGUGUAGGGCUGGAGAGUUGAGUGGUGCAAACAGGAACAACUAUUAGAUAUUCUUCACAAGUGUAAAGCCACCAAUCUAACUGAGGCUGCAAAACAAAACAAUUUUGAACACAAUCACGACUUUGGCACUCCAGUGAUCAAGAAAACAAUUGACAGCAAUUGUAGACAUCUAAAACACAUACUCCACUCAUAGAAAACUCUACAGCUAUGCACCUCUCACACAGCAGCUUCUCCCACCCCGCCUCUUCCUUUCUUUUUAUCCUGGAUGUGUCCUCUCUGCUGACGAUAUUUAUCAACAGUACAUCUCAUUAGGUCACAGGUAACCCACGUGAUGAAGAGGCUUGAUAUUAACAACAGAGCAUCUCUUAAAUCAAAACUGGGAGUGAGAGCAUGAAGAUCAAGUGUGUGUUAGUAAUAACAGUAUUAACGAGCAAGGGGAAACACCAAUAUGAGCUAUCAUGCAGCCACAGGUAGAGAGGAGAGAGCAGGAAGAGGAAAGGGAGGAAGAGGUGUUUGUAUAAAGCUAAAGGGACAAGAUGACAGCAGAGGGAAUGCAGGAAUCUCAAGCACACAUGAAAGCUAACAGGCUAACAACACUCUCAAAGUAGAGUGAAGAACAGAUGCACACUCUGUAUAUACUCUUGUAUAUAAUUUUCUGAAAUGUAUAUGACUCAGUUGGACAAGCAGGCGUGAUUAGGAAAACAAAAAAAAAAGGUUUUCUUUUCAAGUUAUGUUUUGGAAAUUUGAAGUGUUUAGGGGUUUUAAGUUGCAUAAAUGCAUCUGAUGCAGAGGUCAAACAAUGAGAAAUGUUUUUGUGUUUUAAACUGUGAUUCCUAAUUUAAUCAAAAUAAUUGCAAUUUGAUGUCUGGUAUAAUCAAGCAGCUCAGAAUCUAAAAAUAGAGGAAAGAUGUGCAAAUUACAGUGCCACAAAAAAAGGAAAAAAAAGAAAAAAAGAAAAAAAAGUUGUAAAAUGAACAUCACCAACUAAAAAAAGCAACUGACAGGGAAAUUGGGGAUGUCCAUUACCACAGCCACGAUUUCAAAGCAGCAUAGUCAUUAAUAUAUUUAGAGAGAUUUCUGCCACAUUCACAGAAAGUGGACAGCAUUGACAGCCUCCAGCUGACAGCCUCAUUUACAUAAAACCUGACAGCGCUCAGCUCCUGCAGGGCAGGUUUCUGUUUUUAGUCCGACACAUGCUGUAGUUUAGGGGAGAGUGCUUUCAUUAAAUGUAGCAGAGCCUGCUUGAUAAUCAAAACUUCAAAUCAGAUCAGCACAGAGCAGUGCCUGAUCAUGGAUUUACUCUCGUGUCCUAAUCUUAUUUCGCUAGUUAUUGAAAAAAAACGAUACAGCGAGCGUACUUUUCUUUUAAGUUGUCUAACUGUUGGCUUUUACCUUACAUAUAGACUGGUCUGACUUUCCAACCUGCUCCAUCACUGGCAUAAAAAUUGCACACAGCUGGUGCACUGUGCUCCAGGUGACUGGAUGUACCAUUGUGAUUCAUAAAAAUCAAAUGCCUUGUCUUCAACGGAGCCACAUCUCACUGCCUCUAAUGUCUUACUGCAGUGAAUGAGUCACAGACUUAAGCACCUGUUUCCUUGAAAUAUAAAUAUGUUUAUCUUUAAAAAUCCAGACGCUCUUUAACUAAUUGCUACCACCCUGAAGGAAAUCUGUGCAUCCUCGAUUGCGUUUACAGUAAAAACUUUCUCCCAAGCUGUAAGUCUUUUUUUCCCCCACUAUCUGUAUCUUUAUUCCUUGAGCUGCAUCACCCUGCUGCAGUCGGUGAUGGACUUGUCUGAGGUCUCCAAACAACCUAUAUAUACCCUAUAUGACCCUAUAUGUACUGUUGAUGAAGUUAGGUGCUGUUCUGAGCAUUAUUUGUGGUUAUAGAGUGGCGUUUUGGUUGAGGUUUGUUCAUGGCUCCUCAGACCGCUGUGUAUUGCUAUCCUGCGGUCGUUACUAAAGUUGGUAUAACUAGAGAAGCAAACGGUCGGCAACAUUUAUCUCUCAACUCAGUGUUACAGGGCCAGAAAAUCGCUUUAAAUAGGAUGGAAAAGUCAUUUGUACUGACCAAGUAUUUUCAGUUUUACACAAACAGCACAGAAAAUAUAUAGUAUCAGUAUUUGGCCAAAAACAAGCAAAAAAGAUUUUCCUGGAUAUUCUAAGAAAUAUUUGUUGCUUGUAUUUCCUUGAAAACAUGACACCAUGUUGACGAUUCAUCAAUAUAAUACAAUACAAAAAACUUUAUUGAUCCCCAAAGGGGAAUUCGUUUGUCUGGAAUCUGAUCUAAUCCACUAUUUCUAGAAGAAUUAAGAAGUCUGGUGGUUGUGGGUACAAAAAAUCUUCUCAAUCUUUGAAUCAUGCAACCUUUUUUUUCAAUUUGCCUCCCCUGAAAUAAUAUUGUAAGUAUUCAUGAUUAUCCCACCCCCCAUGGUGCUCUGCUGUGUUUAAAUCUUCCAACAUAAAGCGCUGUGGUUUCGGUUAAUGUUAAUCAGCACAUGCAGUGAGGGUUCCUCUUGCUACUACUGCUUUUAAGGAAAACAUAAAUGAGCUUAAUUACUUCGUGCAACCCAAAUCAUCUCAUGGAAAUUCAAGGGUCCUGGAAAUACCUUUAGAAGUAGAUAAUGUUAUCUAAUCCACUUUUUUUUUAAUGGAUCAUCAAAAUGUAGUUCUCUGGAAAAUGAGAGCUGAUUAAAUCAGUUAUGCAUGAGUGGCACAAAAUGGGACUUCCUUCCAGUAAUUGUGCUGAUCUUUUUAUGGCUUUUAUAAAAGCUAGCACACACAGAACUUCCGACUGAAAUGAUGGCAGUUAAAAAGAGCGCUUCCCAGGACUGACUGUUUUAUGUGAGUGUUUUUGGAUGUUUUCCUGCAGAUCAUCUCUCUUAUCUCUAUUAAAACCUUUCACUGGAUUCAUACCAAAACUGUUUUUCAGGCUUUGGAUGUCGUUAAUGUUUUGGAGUCUUGCAGGGCAUCAUGCUGCAUGAUGCCUCCAUUAGGCCAACUCUAUGUUUUCCAUUUAUCGUACACUAUGAAGGCAUGCGGGCAUCUCAGCAGGCAGUUGUACAGGGUCAUACAGAGGUUUACAGCUCAAUAGCUCAACAGCCUAUCACAUGGUUGACAUACAGACUCAACUUUCACACAUUUUUUUAUCAGUGCAGCACACUUUUCCCUCUUUUUUUUUUUUUUUUUUUAACAGGACAUCAAUUUCAUGUCAAAACCCUGCAAAUCUUUCACUUGAUCAAAAUGUUAUUCAAGAGUAAAUGAGGGGGCUCCAGACUGUGUCAGGUCACAGCUGGCUGUGCUCUGUAAUGUGAGGAUAAAUUUGCAAUUUCAGAAAAAUCUCAGGUGUCAGUCUGGCUGAUAGACCCUUGGACCAGCAGAGGUAUUAUGAGGGAAGGUUAUAGAUUUGCUUUUCGCUCACUUAACAGACUCCCACAAUCAAUCUCCCGCUCUGAGAGGUAGUUUAAAAAUGUCAAGACAGAUGUAGAGAACUCCCGCCUUCACACCAAACUCAAACCUGAGCCAGCAGCUUUUCACACGCAUUGAUUCUGACUGUUUGGUCAGAAAUAACCUAUGGACCCUACACUUGUGUUUUCAUGCAGUAGUCUUAUUGAGGUAUAAGUCAACUUUAUGUGCUCUGCUCACCAGAAGCAGUUAGAGCCUCAAACGGCUUCACAGUGCCUGCAUUAUGAAACAAUAAAUGAAAACAAUAAAUGAAAAUGACAUUUUACAUCCCCUGGCCUUCAGCGACACCAAGAAAGACAACUCCAACUAAAACCUCAUUACACAAAAUGGACCCACUGUUAAGUUUUAUCCUCAGCUGAAACUUGUAAAAUCCACAAAAACACGUGUUCACGGGCUUUUGUGUAGGACUCUUCCAUUUACUGUACAGGCUGUGCAUUUACAGCAUAAGAUGGUUCACAGUGUGGUCAUAAUAAAGUCACUAUAAAAAAACAAAAAGGUAUUUCUGAGUUUAAUAUGAGUCUUCAUUAGCAAUGACUGAUGUGAACUUAAAGACACUAACCUCAAGUUUAAAAAAAGGACACAGGUUAGCUUGUAUUGCAUCUGCUUCAUAAAUAAGACAAAUACAUACUACCGUUUCACAUGGGGAGUCAAAUACUGAAUGCAUGUGUCCAGUGAGACAAAAAGAGCCUCAAGGUUUUACCUGCAAAAUGCUGCAGAGAGGACCUCUAAAAACAACCACAAAGUUACUGUAAAUGGCCUCAAAGAGACUCACAACAGCAUCACAGGGACACAAGAUGACCCUUAAGAUGCACAAAAGCAGUGACCAAGAAACCAUAAAGUUACCGCAGACUCGAACCAACUGCAAAGGGACAAAAACCAGCACAAAUAGAAGUACAAAACAGCAAGGCAGGCCAGUUUAUGUUACAUUUUUUCGCAACAAGGUAACUCAAAGGGCUUUGAAAACAAACUGGAGAAGCAAAAGAGGAGCUGGACAGAAAAUAUAAUCAGUAGGUAGAAGGAAAGAGCAGUAAACAAUCACAAAGAGACUCAGGAGUACUGUAGGAGAGUUGGAAAAAUACACCAAGAAUGCAAAAUAACGACAAAGACUCAAGUAUAACAACCAACAUACACCAAACUACUACCACCGCUGACAUUAAUGGUACAAAUGAUUACAAAAAAAGACAAAAAGCAGGAAUUAGUGACCCAUUGUAAACACAAAGAGACACUAAAGGACUGUAAGGAAAUACAAAGUGACCAAAUAUUGACUAACUGACCACCAAGAUGCACAAAACAACCAUAAAGGGACACUUGGAGACUUUAAAGUGACUAUACAAGAGCUCACAGAAGCGAGGACCCAAUAGAAACGACAAAGAGGUGUGAAGUACAUUCAACAAAGACACCCAAAAAACUGAGAUGAAAGUACUACACAGGAGCGAAAUAACCACAAGAAGACAAAGAAUGAACAGUGACAGACAGUGACUCAAAACAGAGGUGUUAAAAAACAACAACAACAAAAAACACUACACAAGGCGACACUUUGUGAUCCUUUCUGUCUGUCUUUCUGUUAUUUCUACCUUCUGUCUGGGUGUCUGACUGUUACAGAUUGUGGUUGGGGGGGCUGUCCUCUAUACAUGUCAGUGCAGAAAGGAACAGCCAGAGGUGAGCACCUGAAUGCAAUAGAGUGGGAUAAGCCAAGAGUGAUGAAACUACUGACCUGUAAUCAGCUUUUCAACAUGCAAAAGACUGCAACCGUCUCAGUGUGUGUUCCCAUUCAGACCUGAGCAUGAGGCGCCUCAGGAAAAUCAGCUCAAACCCCAGCAUCCCCUCUUGUCCUUCUGUUGCCUCUUGAAUUUACCUCAACCCUUCAGCAGGUCUCUGUUUCCUUUCCUCCUGGUCUUAUGUAUUAUUCAUUCUCAUGUUCACGGGCUUUCUCCCAUCUCGUGCUUGAUCAAUAAAACAUACCUGUGUGCUUGCUCCCUCACCUCUCCAUCCUCUCGUCGUCUUCUUCAAGCCAAACCGGCGUGAGCCCACACUGCGCUGAUGAAACAGCAUAGAUAGAUGGCCUUUUCAAACUGGAAGAAAAUGACUACAUUUCUCUCUGCUGUGUGAGUUGGGUCCCUAACAUAGGUUGUGAAAUGAAGUCACCCGUUUGACACAUGCAACGACUUUCCCUCCCAUGAUUCAGAGAUGCUGUCCUCUCCAAGAACACCUACAAAAGAGUCCUACUACCACAAAGAAAAAGAAGAGCCCAGAAUAUUUAUCACCACUGAACCGUUUAAAGGGCACCAGGUUUGGCCACUGCUCUCAAAACCUGUGACAGGGUGAGCAGCCGGGUUGGAUGGAUAAAAUUUUAACAAUUUAAUAGGUAUGUAUCCUAAAUUUAAUGACUAUCAAUACAUGAGCAGAGAAACUAAUAUGAAGAUACAGAUUUCCUAUUCCAGCAGGACCUGCUACCUGCACACGGCACCGAUAUUACCAGAAUCUGGUUUGUUGACCGUGGUAUUAUAUGCUAGAUUGGCCAGCCAACCCGCCUGACCUGAACCCUACAGAGAGUCUCUAGAGUAUGGUCAAGAGACAGAUGAGAGACAUGCAGUCAACAAUACAGAUGAGCUGAAGGCUGCGGUGAAGGCCACCCGGGCUUUCAUAACACCUCAGCAGAGCCACAGACUGAGAGCCUCUAUGUCGUGUCACAUUGAUGCAGCAUUUCAUGCGAAGGGAGCCUCUACCAAGAGCUGAGUUCAUCAAUCAACAUAAUUUUCCAGGAAGUCCACAUUUCUGUUUUAUAAAUUGCUGUUUUGUUAUAUUUUAAUGUUUUGAGAUGGAGGAGUUUUGAUUUCCAUGAGUUUUAAGCCGUAAUUGUCAAGAUUUAAAUUUUUUUUAAAAAGAGAGAGCCUUGAAAAAGUUCAUUUUGUGUGUGAUGAAUCCAGAAUAUAUGUAAGUCUCACUUUUUGAAUGAAAUUAUGGGGAAAAACGAACUUUUUCAUGACAUUCUCAUUGCUCAUUUUCCGAGCUGCACCUGUAUUCUAAUUUGCUCAUCUCAGCUUUUCUGAUUCCAUUUCUACUGUCAAACUCUGCGAUUACAUCCAAGUUUUUUGCAUCACAGAAAUCAAAGGGCCUUAUGUUUGUUGCUUGGGUUAUGACUUUAUUCAAUGAGUUUGCACCAAAUAUUGAUUUGAACUUUAUUUUACUUGAUUUUGUUCCAUGGCUGCAUUACAUACUUGAGUCAUUACCCCGUGGAAAUGGUCUGUUAUUGCCGCACAGCAAACUCUGGCUUUGAAUGUGGUUCUGAUCACAGAUUUCUGCAGACUUACGGUAAUCAUAUCAUCUGUUGAAAGAAAUCUGGUCGAUUUGGUGCCAGUUGGUUUAUAGUGGGGAAAAAGAGAGACUAAACUGGGGGCUAUGGCAGAAAUGUCUGCAAAACUAAAGAUACAUAAAUUUAAUGCCUGGUAGAACACUAAGGGUGGACAUAUAUUGAUUUUUCAUGGCAGACACCAAUACCAAUCUGGGUUACUGGAGGGUUAUGACACCAGAAACCGAUAUUUGGAACCAUCAUGUACUAAAAGUAAAAGUGCUGAACUGUCCUGGUGGUCCCAUUGUGAUUAUCAGCUUCAGACCAUUAGAGCUACGAAUAAAUCUCCAGUGGAUUUGAAUGUGCCAAAAUGCAAUCAGAACAUAUUCAGUACCAGUUCUAGUUCAGCUUACAGUCCACUUAAAGGUUUGCCAUCAUUCAAUGUUGGAAAGAACCAAACAUACAAUACAAUAAUCACUGAUUGUGCCUCUCAUGUUUGAACUUACUGAUGGCUGAACUGAUGAAAACCCUUGAUGGUAGCUGAUGAAAAUGAUCGAAAGGAAGGCCAGCAUGAAAGACUCCUCAUUAACCCUGCCAUUUAAGUCAAAAACUCAAAAAAAGCCAGAGGAAAGCCGAUUUGAUUUUGCUUGAGUAUCAAGACACUCAAACAUCACGCAGACAUGAUUAUUAAGCAUCUCAGUUAAAAAAGAGUAACCAUGGAGACAUGUCAAAACAUGACAUCUAGAAAAGCUGAAUAGUUGCACCUCGCAGCUGUAAAUCAAAAAUUACAGCUGCUGAUGGAAAAACAGCUUUAUUUUACCGUUAAGUUUCACUAUUUAAUUCAUUGCAUGCCACGAUGCAACUCUGUAAAGGUAGAAAAGACACACUCCAUUACUUUGAUAGUUUAGAGAGCUUACUACAAUAUGCUAUAACCUGAGGACAUUGGAUGGCUGUGGGGAAUACCCCCUGCCUGGAUUGUCUGUCUUGGAUAAACAA
rnacentral:lncRNA from 1 species